GAUGAACGCUGGCGGCGUGCCUAAUACAUGCAAGUAGAACGCUGAAGCUUGGUGCUUGCACCGAGCGGAUGAGUUGCGAACGGGUGAGUAACGCGUAGGUAACCUGCCUGGUAGCGGGGGAUAACUAUUGGAAACGAUAGCUAAUACCGCAUAACAGUCGACAUUGCAUGAUGUUGAUUUGAAAGGGGCAAUUGCUCCACUACCAGAUGGACCUGCGUUGUAUUAGCUAGUUGGUAAGGUAACGGCUCACCAAGGCGACGAUACAUAGCCGACCUGAGAGGGUGAUCGGCCACACUGGGACUGAGACACGGCCCAGACUCCUACGGGAGGCAGCAGUAGGGAAUCUUCGGCAAUGGACGGAAGUCUGACCGAGCAACGCCGCGUGAGUGAAGAAGGUUUUCGGAUCGUAAAGCUCUGUUGUAAGAGAAGAACGAGUGUGAGAGUGGAAAGUUCACACUGUGACGGUAUCUUACCAGAAAGGGAC
rnacentral:rRNA from 1 species